rnacentral:rRNA from 1 species
CAGUCGCCGCGGGAAUACGUAGGGUGCAAGCGUUAAUCGGAAUUACUGGGCGUAAAGCGUGCGCAGGCGGUUUUGUAAGACAGAGGUGAAAUCCCCGGGCUCAACCUGGGAACUGCCUUUGUGACUGCAAGGCUAGAGUACGGCAGAGGGGGAUGGAAUUCCGCGUGUAGCAGUGAAAUGCGUAGAUAUGCGGAGGAACACCGAUGGCGAAGGCAAUCCCCUGGGCCUGUACUGACGCUCAUGCACGAAAGCGUGGGGAGCAAACAGGAUUAGAUACCCCUGUAGUCCCUGUCUUCUUAUA